CCCAGUUGUGAAGGCGGCUGUCUGGUCUGUAACUGACGCUGAGGAAGAAAGCAUGGGUAGCGAACAGGAUUAGAUACCCUGGAAGCGAGGCCGUAAACGAUGAGUGCUAAGUGUUGGAGGGUUUCCGCCCUUCAGUGCUGCAGCUAACGCAUUAAGCACGCCGCCUGAGGGGAGUACGACCGCAAGGUUGAAACUCAAAGGAAUUGACGGGGGCCCGCACAAGCGGUGGAGCAUGUGGUUUAAUUCGAAGCUACGCGAAGAACCUUACCAGGUCUUGACAUCUUCUGCCAAUCUAAGAGAUUAGACGUUCCCUUCGGGGACAGAAUGACAGGUGGUGCAUGGUUGUCGUCAGCUCGUGUCGGGAGAUGUUGGGUUAAGUCCCGCUAUCGAGUGCAACCCCUUAUUAUCAGUUGCCAGCAUUUUGUUUGGGCACUCUGGUUAGGACUCCGGUGACAAACCGGAGGGAGGGUGGGGAUGACGUCAAUCAUCAUGCCCCUUAUGACUUUGGUAUAA
rnacentral:rRNA from 1 species